rnacentral:rRNA from 1 species
UGCAGUCGAGCGGUAACAGGUCUAGCUUGCUAGACGCUGACGAGCGGCGGACGGGUGAGUAAUGCAUAGGAAUCUGCCCGAUAGUGGGGGAUAACCUGGGGAAACCCAGGCUAAUACCGCAUACGUCCUACGGGAGAAAGGGGGCUUCGGCUCCCGCUAUCGGAUGAGCCUAUGUCGGAUUAGCUAGUUGGUGGGGUAAUGGCCCACCAAGGCGACGAUCCGUAGCUGGUCUGAGAGGAUGAUCAGCCACAUCGGGACUGAGACACGGCCCGAACUCCUACGGGAGGCAGCAGUGGGGAAUAUUGGACAAUGGGGGCAACCCUGAUCCAGCCAUGCCGCGUGUGUGAAGAAGGCCUUAGGGUUGUAAAGCACUUUCAGCGAGGAAGAACGCCUGGCGGUUAAUACCCGCCAGGAAAGACAUCACUCGCAGAAGAAGCACCGGCUAACUCCGUGCCAGCAGCCGCGGUAAUACGGAGGGUGCAAGCGUUAAUCGGAAUUACUGGGCGUAAAGCGCGCGUAGGUGGCUUGAUAAGCCGGUUGUGAAAGCCCCGGGCUCAACCUGGGAACGGCAUCCGGAACUGUCAAGCUAGAGUACAGGAGAGGAAGGUAGAAUUCCCGGUGUAGCGGUGAAAUGCGUAGAGAUCGGGAGGAAUACCAGUGGCGAAGGCGGCCUUCUGGACUGAUACUGACACUGAGGUGCGAAAGCGUGGGUAGCAAACAGGAUUAGAUACCCUGGUAGUCCACGCCGUAAACGAUGUCGACCAGCCGUUGGGUGCCUAGCGCACUUUGUGGCGAAGUUAACGCGAUAAGUCGACCGCCUGGGGAGUACGGCCGCAAGGUUAAAACUCAAAUGAAUUGACGGGGGCCCGCACAAGCGGUGGAGCAUGUGGUUUAAUUCGAUGCAACGCGAAGAACCUUACCUACCCUUGACAUCCUGCGAACCCGGAAGAGAUUCCGGGGUGCCUUCGGGAA